rnacentral:rRNA from 1 species
UUUUAUGAGAGUUUGAUCCUGGCUCAGGACGAACGCUGGCGGCGUGCCUAAUACAUGCAAGUCGAACGCUUCUUUUUCCACCGGAGCUUGCUCCACCGGAAAAAGAGGAGUGGCGAACGGGUGAGUAACACGUGGGUAACCUGCCCAUCAGAAGGGGAUAACACUUGGAAACAGGUGCUAAUACCGUAUAACAAUCGAAACCGCAUGGUUUUGAUUUGAAAGGCGCUUUCGGGUGUCGCUGAUGGAUGGACCCGCGGUGCAUUAGCUAGUUGGUGAGGUAACGGCUCACCAAGGCCACGAUGCAUAGCCGACCUGAGAGGGUGAUCGGCCACAUUGGGACUGAGACACGGCCCAAACUCCUACGGGAGGCAGCAGUAGGGAAUCUUCGGCAAUGGACGAAAGUCUGACCGAGCAACGCCGCGUGAGUGAAGAAGGUUUUCGGAUCGUAAAACUCUGUUGUUAGAGAAGAACAAGGAUGAGAGUAACUGUUCAUCCC